AUGGGUUAACAGUUGAAGGACCAUCUACACCUAUCAAGCCACAGCUGUUUACCUGGCACAGAAAGUACAUUUUUGGAGACACGGAAUUCCAGUGACCCUGGGUAGUCUCUAUUUCCGUGCCUGUACAACAGGCUGUGCUGAGAAGCGCCAUGUUUUUUUUUUUUUUUUUUUAAAGAAGAUUUAUUUAUUUAUUAUAUGUGAGUGCACUGUAGCUGCCUUCAGACACACCAGAAGAGGGCAUCGGAUCCCAUUAUAGAUGGUUGUGAGCCACCAAGUGGUUGCUGGGAUUUGAACUCAGGACCUCUGGAAGAGCAGUUGGAGCUCUUAACCGCUGAGCCAUCUCUCCAGCCCAAGCGCCAUGUUUUUAUAGUUCCUAACGUUCGCCCAUGGUUCUGAUCCAUGACCUCCCUUCUACAGGUCUGAUGACAGCCGGACCACUUUGCUUCCUAAUAGAGAAGGAAUGGUUUCUGCUAUUUGAGGGCCUUCCCUUCCCCUCUGGGGUUUGGAGCUUAUUGGAGAUUCAGGAGAUAGAGCACGGGCAGGGCAUGUGUAUUGAUUCCUUCUUGGCUGGCUUGCUUUGCUCUUUAACCAACCCCUGUUAACCUGGACGGGUCUGGGUCUCGCUCCACAGUAACACUGCAGUUUUCAGAAAUUCCGAAUCUAACCAAGAAAGGUUUUGAAAAGACUGCCUUAUACUGCCUUUAUCCAGCAGUUCCCCACUGCCAGUGCCUCAUCCGUUUAAAAGUUCCGAGCAGAAACUCAGUCACCUGUGCCCUUUGCUGAGCGCUGGGGUACCCCUUCUGGAGAGCGGGAACAUAGGAAACUGUAACUAAAGCAAAGAACUGCGUCACCAUGGCUCGGUUCACCUGGUGAGGAACAGCCACAGCUUGCUCCAGAUCUGCAAACAGGAGGCUUAGGGACAAGUGUUUAUGUUCAAAGGCUUAACAAUACCCCCCACCCCUAGAUCCUAAAUUAUCCUGCCCAGUGUUAGCGACAUUAACUCAGCUGGCCUUAGUGACCUGCAGUACAGCUGGAGGCCUCAUCUCUCAACACACGUGCCAACACGACCAGCAGGCACAAGCUGUGGGACUGAAGAGGUACUUGCUGUCCUCAACACAUUUCAUCUCCAACACAGCUCUGUUUUGUUUACUAGUCUCUCCUCUGGUCUUGGAAAAUUCUGACUCCAGCCCUUAGCCAAACCACAUCCCAAUUUCAAACUUCUCCAAAUUCUCACCUCCAAAAAGCAGUGCCAGGUUAACUAACACACCUGGCUCCAAUUACUGCAGCUCGGGCCCUUCCAAGGCUCAGUGACUUUAGUGAUUGUUUACCUCGGACCAGCUGGAGCUGAUUAAGGAUGUGGUUACGUUGUUUCUGUCGUGUGUGUUUAAGGCAAUGUUACGUUACUCCGCCUCUGUCCACUCUGAUCCCAUAUUGCUAUCUCUCUCCCACCCCUCACCUCUCUCUCCCCCUCUGUUCUCCUUCCUCCCUCCCCACCCCCUUUUCUCUAGUAUGAGUAGUGAAUCCUGAGCUCUGAGCCUGCUUCCCUCAUCACCCCCAUAAUGCUCUGCGAACAGUGCAUGAAGGCUUCGUGCAUGGAUCACUGUCCAAACGCCUGCUUCUAAUUUCUGCAGAGAGGGACUUCUGCUCAGCAAACUGAAACGAUUAGCUCCUCUAACCUUCCAAAUCUUGAUAAACAAAAGAAAGGGGGAGAGAGAGAGAGAGAGAGAGAGAGAGAGAGAGAGAGAGAGAGAGAGAGAGAGGGGAGCGAGCGCUGUGAGGGCAUUCUGUCCUAAUGGAGCAGUAGGGUAGGGUGCUUUGGAGAGCCAUCAAAUGCUCACCAGUGAGGAAGACCUAAGCAUUGAACUCAGAAUGUUUUUCCAAGUGUUGAAAGGAAACAUGCCUGGUUUGUAAACCUGUGCCAUCUAAGUCUUCUGUUUUAGGUAAGUCAUCAGUCAGCCAUGAAGUGUCUCUGACCUUCUGUGAGGUUUCAAGACUAUUUUUCUAGUUUACCAAUUCUAGAAACACUUUGGAUCCUCAAGCUCUCCUGGUGUUUCUCACUAGAUGCAAAUUAUUCUAUUUUUCAUAUUGGAGGCCUGGGCUAGUUCCAUUAAAAAUAUAAUCUUAAUUUCCAGUAUAGAAUUAGAAAACGGUAGCACUGAAGGAAACCUUAGGAGUGUAACCUCACCAGUCUCUUCCUAUAGGCAGAAAGGAACCAGCUUCAUGUGACUCUAGGCACAUAACCAAAAUUGAAACAAGAAGUGGGGGAACUGGGCUCAUGUAGCUACCUGACACACACAUGAACCCAGGCUGGGUCCUAACACCAGCACAGCAAACGAAAGACCACUGUAGGCAGGCUCUGUGACUACCAUAAGCUAACACCACAGGUUCAUACCUUGAAGCCUUGUCUUAGAACUACUGGAGCCAAUGAGAUAGUACAUCAGAUAAAGGUGCUUGCCACCAAGCUGUCAAACUGAGUUUGAUCCUGGGGUCUCCUACAAGUUAUCCUCUGCUGUGCUGAGAUGGUGGCACCCACACACAUACAAAAUGAGUGUAAUAAUUUUUUUUUUCGGAGCUGGGGACCGAACCCAGGGCCUUGCGCUUGCUAGGCAAGCGCUCUACCACUGAGCUAAAUCCCCAACCCCGAGUGUAAUAAUUUUUUUAAUAAUUUUUAAAGAAGCAUUGUUUUAUACCUCUAUAAAAGUCAGAUGUCAGUAACCAGAUUUUCCAAAAAUAUAUAUAAUUAAUGAGAAUUUUCCAGAUACAAAUUAUGAAUAUGCAUUACAUGGAUUACAGACCAUGCCUGUAAUCCCAGGACUCAGGACGAUGAGUCUAGCAGAUGGAAUGUUUGGGGCUAGCCUGGAGUUAUACAGUAAGACACUGUCUCAAAAGCUAACCAAACAAAUAUUUGAUAAGUAAAUUUUAAUCUCUAGGUUCAACGUACUUCCUAAGGCUAAACCGUAUAUCAACAUUGUAUCUGUUCAUUCAGAACAUUUAUUUCAUAAAUAUUUGGGUACUCACUGUGUGCUAGGUAGGCAUUACUUUAGUUGCUGGAAAUAUCAGCAGACAAAAAAAAAUGUCUAUCAUCUUGGGUAUUCUACUUGAAGAGAGAAAACAGGCGAGUUUAAAGACUAGCCCCAGCUGAUCUGAAUUAUUUUAGAGAUAAAAGGGGGUUGGAUACUAUAGUGGGAGUCCAGUGUGGAGAGUUGGAGAAGCUGGUAUUGUAAAUGAGUGAGGAGCAAAGGCCUCUGUGCCAGGAAGAUGCCCCUCCCUGCAAGUGUAAUCCUAAGCAGGUGUCACUCUAGAACUAAUGAGGAACCAGCUUCAAAAGACCCUGUGAUAGGGUCUAAGCUUUUAAAGAAUCAUGUUGGCUGUUGCUCAGAGAAUAGAUCUUAUUAGCUCGUAAAGAUAGUGAGUGGCAUUUAUUGAGUGAUGGGUUGGUUCCAGCUACUGUUCUGUCCUCUUUUAAUAACUUCCUUGUGAUAGCGACCCCAUGAAGCAGAUUGUAUCAUUAUCCCAGGAAACGAGGCAGAGAGAAAUAACUCGGACCAAAGCAAGAAACUUAGUUUCCAAUGUGAACACUAUAUCCCAGACCUGGAGCACUCAAAAGACUGGGUCAGAAAUGGCUACAUCUCAAAUAUAAACAUGGCGGUUCAAACCACCGGUAGAAAGAGGCCGGAGGCAGGCAGAUUCAGAAUAGAUCCCCAUGGUAGAAGAAAUGAGACAAGAUAUGACAUUUGAGAAAACCUGGAAUUCACCGGUAUUGUGAAUGAGUGACAAUGCCAGGGGGUGGAGUUGUCAUGAGUGGCUUCGAAUAAUUCUCCAAACUAGAUAAAAUAAAAUAUACAGUUCAUGUGGCUGCCAUGCCAACUAUCCAAAAACGUAAUGACAUAAAUUUAUUCUCUCGCUGUGUUUAAGGACGGAGUUCCCCCAGCAUGGUGGGCCAAAGCCAAGGUAUCUCUAGAGAUGCCCCUCCAUGGGCUCUCAGAGUUUCUGGUGUGUCUUCUAGUUCCUCAGUGAGGCUGCCAUCUUUAGUUUGUGACCCCAUCCCUCUAAUCCCUGUCUCCUAGGUCAUACUGGCUUCUCCCCUUCUGGCUAUUUCAUGGAAUCUCACAAGGAAACCGGUGAGAGCACUUGGGCCUCCCAGAUGAUCUCCUCAUUGAAAGGGUCUUCAUCCCACCUGCAGACUCUCUGUGUAAAGUGACAUUCACAUGUUUGAUGCCCAGAAGAGCCAUAAGGAAACAGAUCGGUGGUUGUUGGCUGAGCAGGGAGAACAAAAAAAUCGGGCAGCGGUGCUGCAGACACAGAGCUGAGUAAGAAGCCAGAGGUGCUUACCCACUAGGCCCUUGGUAAAUAAUUCAAGCCAUGGCUCCGUGAAUGAUAAAAGGAUGAAUGAUGAGAACGUUGUUUAUGGAAGGUUGGAUUUAUGAAGGAGUUCCCAGCCGAGGGCCUGAAGCUCAAGAUGUCUGUCCCAGGAGACUGACUAAGGAGGCUACAUGGUAAGGAGAGAGGGACAGAGAAAUCCUAGAGCCACUGCAGAGAAAAAUGGAGGUAAACUUGACUGACCAGGAAGCUGGCUUGGGAAAACAGCCCUGGGAAAUCAGCUUAGGAAGGCUCUUAAAUUCCAUUUCAGCUGGAGAGAUGGCUCAGGGGUUAAGAGCACUGACAGCUCUUCCAGAGGUCCUGAGUUCAAUUCCCAGCAACCACAUGGUGGCUCACAACCAUCUGUAAUGGGACCCGAUGCCCUCUUCUGGUGUGUCCGAAGACGGUGAUGGUGUAUUCAUAUAAAUUCCAUUUCAGAGACACCAUCAUCUUCAUUUCCAGGGAUACAAGUCAGGUUGAGAGGAGCAAGCUGCUCAUCAGGAGCCCACACUGGGGAAGUGCUGGACUCACCGAUCACCACUGGACCUCGCUGCUUUGCCCUGUGGUCUGGCCCUUCCUUAGUCCCAGGAGUCCACGAGUUGGUCAGACAGCACCUUGCUUGACUCACAGAGGCCUGGCCUGACACCAUCACACUGCCCAGCAGCCAUCACCUAAACUGUACUGGAUGUCUCCAAGAGAAGGGAUGAUACUUCUCCAGUGAUGACUCAUAUUGGGGAGACAACCAUGACGAACAGCAGAACAAGCAUGCCUCCCGCAGGGAAGAAACGCAGCUAGUUCCUCGGUGUUCUGCCCUGUGUUUUCCAAACAUCCAACCUUGAAGUGGC